rnacentral:rRNA from 1 species
UGAAUCAUGCUUAAUGUUGGUGAUUGUGAUAACGUAAGGGAAAAAAAUGAUAUUACCUUACUAUUAGUGUUGUCCAAAACUGGUGCCAGAAGACUCGGUAAGGCCAGAGACGCAAACGUUAGUCGUCCUAAUCAGGCGUAAAGGGUGUGUAGGCUGCUUUAAAAGUUAUAUCUUUCAUAAAGCUCUUUUAACUAAGUAAAAUAAUAAUAGAAAAAUUAUUAUAAUCCUUGGUUCUAAGGUAAAUAUAUAAUUAAUUAAAGCUAGGAUCAAAUUGAGGAUAAGCCAAAUAAUACUUAGAGUAGGGAUUAAAUCCUCAGAUACUAAGGGGAAUACUAAAGGUGAAAGCUUUUUAUCUAUUAUUGAUUGACGCUGAGAAACGAAGGUGAGAAUAGGAAAUAGGAUUAGAUACCCAGAUACCUCUCACUGUCAACGAUGAAUGGUGGUUGUUAGUUUAAAAAAAACUGGUAACGAUGUUAACACGAUAACCAUUCCGCCUUGCGAGUACGGUUGCAAAACUGAAA